CUUAUACUCCCCUCCGUCCAGAAAUACUUGUCCUAGAAGUAGAUGUAUCUAGACUUAUCUUAGUUAUAGAUACAUCCAUUUUAUACAUUUCUAGGACAAGUAUUUCCGGACGGAGGGAGUAAUAU
rnacentral:pre_miRNA from 1 species